rnacentral:rRNA from 1 species
AGAGUUUGAUCAUGGCUCAGAACGAACGCUGGCGGCGUGGAUAAGACAUGCAAGUCGAACGUUCAUUUCGGGGUAGCAAUAUUCCGGAGUGGAAGUGGCGAAAGGGUGCGUAACAUGUGGGUAAUCUGCCGUGAAGUUAGGGAUAACUCGCUGAAAGGCGAGCUAAUACCAAAUGUAACUAGCAAGAGGUCACUUUUGCUAUUUAAAGCUGGGGACCGCAAGGCCUGGUGCUUCAUGAUGAGCCCGCAACCUAUCAGCUAGUUGGUGAGGUAACGGCCCACCAAGGCUAAGACGGGUAGCUGGUCUGAGAGGACGACCAGCCACACUGGAACUGAGACACGGUCCAGACACCUACGGGUGGCAGCAGUCGAGAAUUUUUCACAAUGGGCGAAAGCCUGAUGGAGCGACGCCGCGUGGGGGAUGAAGGGCUUCGGCCCGUAAACCCCUGUCAUUUGUGAACAAUGCUCACGACCUAACACGUUGUGAGUUGAUAGUAACGAAAGAGGAAGGGACGGCUAACUCUGUGCCAGCAGCCGCGGUAAUACAGAGGUCCCAAGCGUUGUUCGGAUUUACUGGGCGUAAAGGGUGCGUAGGUGGUGAGGUAAGUCUGAUGUGAAAUCUCCGAGCUUAACUCGGAAAUGGCAUUGGAAACUACCUUGCUAGAGGGUUGGAGGGGAGACUGGAAUUCUCGGUGUAGCAGUGAAAAUGCGUAAAUAUCGAGAGGAACACCAGUGGCGAAAGGCGAGUCUCUGGACA